rnacentral:rRNA from 1 species
AACGUAGGGCGCAAGCGUUGUCCGGAUUUAUUGGGCGUAAAGAGCUCGUAGGCGGCUUGUUGCGUCGUCCGUGAAAACCCGCAGCUCAACUGCGGGCUUGCGGACGAUACGGGCAGGCUGGAGUUCGGUAGGGGAGACUGGAAUUCCUGGUGUAGCGGUGAAAUGCGCAGAUAUCAGGAGGAACACCGGUGGCGAAGGCGGGUCUCUGGGCCGAAACUGACGCUGAGGAGCGAAAGCGUGGGGAGCAAACAGG